UGGGGAAUAUUGCACAAUGGGCGCAAGCCUGAUGCAGCCAUGCCGCGUGUGUGAAGAAGGCCUUCGGGUUGUAAAGCACUUUCAGCGGGGAGGAAGGCGUUAAGGUUAAUAACCUUGGCGAUUGACGUUACCCGCAGAAGAAGCACCGGCUAACUCCGUGCCAGCAGCCGCGGUAAUACGGAGGGUGCAAGCGUUAAUCGGAAUUACUGGGCGUAAAGCGCACGCAGGCGGUCUGUCAAGUCGGAUGUGAAAUCCCCGGGCUCAACCUGGGAACUGCAUUCGAAACUGGCAGGCUAGAGUCUUGUAGAGGGAGGUAGAAUUCCAGGUGUAGCGGUGAAAUGCGUAGAGAUCUGGAGGAAUACCGGUGGCGAAGGCGGCCCCCUGGACAAAGACUGACGCUCAGGUGCGAAAGCGUGGGGAGCAAACAGG
rnacentral:rRNA from 1 species